CAUGUCAUGUUAUUGAAAUCUGCAUUUAACAGAACUGAAAAGAAAAAUAAGAAAAGUGACAAGACUAAGAAAAAAGAUAUUCCUGGAUAAUGAAAUAUUAAUUUUAUUUGAUUUUUGAUUUUUUCUUUUUUCAAUUUUUGAAGAUAGAAGGGUUUACAUCGGAAUGUAAGACAAUAAAGUAAAACAUCCGGAUCACACCCUGAGAUAAUUCGGACGCAAAAAGGAUAGAAAGACUGGCUACCGAGACUCCCGUCUGAUGGGGAACUUUCAGGCUUGGUGAUCAUUUUUUGGCUUUUCUUCUGUUUCGGCAAUGGCUGCAAUGGCCUUGAGUGCCAGAUCAAAUUCCUCAGCUUCACAAAUCAUUUUGACUAUUGGCCCGAUGUUUUGGGCAGGCAAUAGAUUGUUCAUGACAUCAAGAGCUUCUUCAUCCCGAAAAAUGAUUCUUUCAGCUUCAAUCAAAUCUUUAACUGCCCUUUUGAGGGUCCAAUAGUCCUUUGUACUUUGUCCCGCUGCUCCAGAGUGGUAUUCACAUAGAGCAUCAGCUCGGUGUGAGGGGGACUUGGGGUUCGGCCGGUUCGGGGCCACUGGCUGCAAUAGAUCUAGCUUGAUUAGCUUUUGAAACAAGAUUGAAUACGAUUCACCAAUAGGGGUGAACUGAUUCUUCGUGAAAGUCUCUCUCUAGCGAGAAUUGUACUGGAGAACAUUUGGUUGGGGAUUAUAUGGAGCUUUGUAAGGAUGGGCAUUUAUAGGAGGUGGAGCUCGGUUCUAUGUAUGAUGUUGUGGCUGCGUGAAAGGUUGCGCGUUCAUCACCACAUAAGGAGGCGGUGCCACGGCAUAAGCAUCACCUUGAAAGGGACAACAGUGUGGAGGGAACAUAAGAGGCACAUAUGAUUGGCUGAGUGACCUGCGGGCCCCCCUCGUCUUGAAGCCAUCAUGGCUCCAUCUUCACUCCCAUUGUUGUUCAUCAAAUCCUCUGAACCAUUAUAAGCAGCAUGUGAUAUGGCUUUAAAAGCAGCAUGACUCAAGAUUCAACCUAUUUUUAAACCAUUUUCAACCAUUUCCCCAAUUUUGAUAGCCUCAGCAAACGGCUUACUCAUAGCGGACAUCAUGUUCUAGAAGUAGUCCUCAUCUUGGGCCUGUAGAAAGACCGUGACCAUUUUAAUUUUAUCCAUUGGAGGCUUUACCCUGACAGCUUGCUCAAGCCAUUUGACAGCAUAUUCGCGGAAGCUUUCCGUGAUUUUCUUUUUCAGAUUGGACAAAGAGUUUCUGUCGGGAGCGAUGUCCACAUUAUACUGGAACUGGCGAACAAAAUCCUGGGCCAUAUCGUCCCACACGUGCCAAUGGUUAAUUUCUUGAUCCGUAUACCACUCAGAAGCAAUUCUGGUGAGGCUUUCCCCAAAAUAGGCCAUUAGCAGCUCCUCUUUUCCACCAGCACCUCUCAACUGGUAACAUUAUCGUUUCAGAUGAGCGACCGGAACUCCGUGCCCGUUGUACUUUUCAAAUUUUAGCAUCUUGAAGCCAGCUAGAUAGUGGACAUGGGGAAACUUACAGAGGUCAGAGUAUGACACACUCUUUUGACCCCUCAGACCUUGCAUGUUUUUAGGCUUUAUUCCAGGCUCUUCAUCUUCCUAGCCAUUUCCUCUUGCUUGGGAUUUUUAACAACCUUUUCUUGCUCCCUUGAGAGAUCAUAUUGUGGAGGUUGAAUGAAAGAGUAUGGGGUCACAUAUGUUAUUUCUGAUUGAAGCUGGAGACGCUGAAAGGUGAACGUUGGAGGCUCAACAUACAGCCGUGGUAAAGUUGGUUAUGUUCUGGUGUAGACUAGUGAUGUAGAGAACAAUAUUGGAGGUGCCCAGGAAACUGGCGCCUGGGGGCGAACUACAGAAAGCAUGCUAGGAUCAUUGAACGGCAUUGGAGGGUGCCCGCAUAGGAUGGGCGGGUUGGGCCCAGGGGCAUUGGUAACCUUGACUUGGGGAUCAACUUAGGGAACCCUGGGAUUGCACUUGGUGGUUCCCUACCAUUAGACCAGGCGUCCCACACUUCUAAUAUGCGAAGACGCAACAUUUUAUUCUCUUCAGCAACUGCUGAUUCUAGCUGCAGAAUAGCCAAUGCCGGACUAUCCUUAGGACCGAUGAUUGGUAGAUUGCUUGUGGAGGGAUCUUGUGAAGGAGGGGAGGCUAGACUAACAACAAAACCAGCCACCAAAACUUGGCUAGAUUGCAAACUCAACACCCUUGUUAGUUUUGAGAUGCUUAACAUAUAGGAAAUCACACGUUUGGAUGCAAUGCACCUAAACAGUUAAAUGUUUCUACCAUGUAUUUGAACGGUUGAAUGUUCAUCCCGUCCUUAGUUAACCCUUUCAGUAUGUACCCCUUUUCUUUUAUUUUUGCCUCUCUUAAUCACUCUUGAUUUUUUUUUCAUUUCGUUUUUGUCGCUCUUUUUUUGUUUUUUUUUUGGCACUCUCUCUUCUUUUUUUUUUUGUUUUGUUUUUGUCACUCUCUUUUUUUUCACUCAAAUUUUCUUUCUCUUUUUUCAGUUUAUUUUUCAGUCAGUUAAUUUUAUGGCUAUGAUCGAAUCCGAUGAGGAUUUCCUACGUAUCAUGACGCCGCAUGAAUCAGAUCUUGCGUAGUUCGGGAAGAUAAAAAAUGGAGUAAAUAAACUAACUUUUUUUUUGUUGGAAUUUUUUAAAGAAAUGCUUUAAAAGAAGAAAGGAAAUAUUUUUUUUUUGAUUUUUUGAUUUUGAUUUUUGUUUUGUUUGUCAAAGAAAGACUUCUAAAAAAUUAAUUUGCUUUUGAUUUGAACUUUGGGAAUUUUAAAAGUAAAAAAAAAAAAAUUUGUUUAAAUUUAUUUAUUUUCUCUUUUUCUAAAGAAGAAAGAAAAUAUUUUUUGAAUUUUGGAUGUUGCCUCUUAAUUUUCGAAAGAGGGACUUUUAAGAAAAUAUUUUGGACUUCUAAGUUUUUAUUUAUUUAUAAAAGCACUUCUAAAGAAAAGCGAAAAUAUUUUUGGACUUCAAUUUUUCAAAUUUUCUUUUUCUUUUUUUGAAAGAUAGACUUUUAAACAAGGAAAAUAUUUUUUUUUAAUUCAUUGUUUUUGAGUUUUUGAGAAAAAUACUUUAAAAUAAAGAAAACCCGUAUUUGGAUUUUGAUUGAUUUUUUUAUUUUAUAUUUUUUUUUCAUAUGAAAGACUUCAGAAAGAAGGAAACUAUUUUUUUUUGAGUUUAAAAUAUAUUUCUUUUGAAUUUUAUAAGGAUAUGCUUCUAAGGACGGAAUUAAAGAAAAUUAUUUUUGGAUUUUUUUUAAAAACAAUUGGGGCCGGAACCAAUGAGGUUUGCCUACGUAUCUCACAUUCGGUGAGAAUCAGACCCGCAUAGUUCGGCCACUUUUGACAUACAUGGAAAACAUGAUAUUGACUCACUUUUUGUUUCUUUUUUUUUUCAAAAGAUUUUGGCAAAGUUUUAAUGCAUUUCAAAUACCGGGGUUUUCAGAACCGCGUGAAUUCUCUAUCCUACCUCACUCUUGGUUUUUCUCUUGAUGUUCUUUUCCUAGCCUGUCAACAUGCAAGCCGAAAUAAAUAAAUAUUCAUAUAGCACGUAGGAUGCAUCAAUAUGGUCUUUUAUUUUGGGUACACCUGUCCUAGACGGAUUCAACACCUAUGUUGAGUCCCCAAGAUCAAAUGCAUGUGAUGCAAACAAAUGUUCCUACUAGGGAUCUGACAUGAGGUUGCGUUAUUCUAGGUUUAAAACCUGGAGUUGUGUUCUAGACCUGGCUUACCUGAGCGAACNNNNNNNNNNNNNNNNNNNNNNNNNNNNNNNNNNNNNNNNNNNNNNNNNGGCCUUGUUGCUUGCCCAGCCCCGUUCUAUUUGGUACAACUCUAACAGAAAAUGGGCCACGCAAACAUGAGCACCGUUUUUUAGAAGACUCAUAAGGGAGACAUAAGAAGACAUUUAAAUACAGUUCAAGUAAUAUCAAAGCGGUAAAUGACAAUUAGCACAUUAAGUCCACAAAAUAUAGUAAUAUCAACAAUAAAGCCAAAUAAAAAUCACAUUAACAAGCUCGAAUUCUUGAACCCUGAACCAGAGAUUCUGGGUUCGAUCCCCAGCAGAGUCGCCAGAGCUAUCACACCUCCUUUUUUACACCCGAGGGGUAUAUUAGGGAGUUUUUCCAAUUAAAGUGACAUUAUUCGAAAUGAGAUUAUUUAAAUUAUUUAAUCAGAGUUACCACUUGGAAUAAUUUAAUUAGUGUCCCAACUUACCGGUUUAUUUUAAAUCCCAAAUCGAGGAAGUUCUUAUUUUUAAAGUCUGCGAACCAGAAAUUUUAGAUAAGGAGUUCUGUUAACCCAGGAGAAGGUGCUAGGCAUACCCGGGUUUCGUGUUUCUAGCAUGGUCGCUUGGUGAUUACAUGGCUUAAAUUGUUUAACUACUCAUUUUUAGGACCUAUAUGUAUUUAUCUUUUUACCGCUUUUCAUUUCUUAAUUAUUCGGAAUUUUGGAAAUAUUUUAAAACGAGUCACGCGUAUGUUGUACCCAUUUCGUUUGGCGCGUCAAGAAUCAUAUCACGCAUACGUGUCCACAAUUCACAACACUUGAUUGUUUAAGAAAAAACUUGGCCAAAGUUGCGCGAACGUAUACUUUGAUUUAUUUUUGGAAUCGUAAUUAUGUCACGCAAACGUAUACAUAAUCACGAUAAUUUGAUUAAUUAAUAACGGUAUAAGCAUAUUGUCAUGUUCAUAAUUAUUGAAGAGGGGAUAGCUUAUGAAUAAAUAUAUAUCCUCUGUUAAUAAACACGCAAAUUAGCGAGAUUCGACUACAUUUGAAAGAUAAAAAUAAAAUUAAAAUCAAAUAGAUGUCAACUUCCAUUAACAAACUUAUUCCCUCAAAAACAUUUAAUAGCUCACCUCUUUUUAUUUAUGAAAGCUAUCAAAAUUUUCAAGAUACAUAAUAAUAAUAAAAUAAGACGAGGAACUAUACAUAAUAAUUAAAGCAUGGAUUUCGCACAUGUACACUUAAACGUCCGUUUGAAAUUAAGAUCAACAAAAGACUAUGUAGAAUCAAUAAAAAUCAACUCAAAAUAACUAAGCAAAAAUCCAAUAAAUCAAUAUAGGCUGAUAAUGAAAAAAUCAGAGACAAAGUAAGAAGAGAACCUCAAAACAGAGUCAAAGCCAAUGAUUUUGAUUGAACAAUAAAAUCUCUGCGUAAAGUAGUACGACAAUUGUAUUGUUCGAAUGAGAGCGACAUCUAUAACUUGAAAGAAACAAAGGACCUCCGCCGGAGCUCGAACGAAAACUCGACUGACCUUACCGACUCGAUCUCGAAACUACCCAUACGACCUCGACGCUAAACCCGACAUAAGAGUACUAAGUUUGGUGUUGUUCGGCAGCUAUUUUCUGGGUGAUGUUGUGCAGUUGUGUUUGCUGCGAUUUCAGUUGGUUUGAGACGCUUUUAGCUCAUGUUUUGGGGUUGGUUCUCUUGGUUCAGCCGAUGAAGAAGCUAAGGGGUCUCUUUUCUUAGGCUGAAGAAGAGGGGUGUGUCGAGGAAGAUGAAGUUUCGGGGGGGGGGGGGGGGGUCUGUUUUUUGGGUCCAAAACGGCGGAUUUUUUCG
rnacentral:lncRNA from 1 species